UACAGAGGUGGCAAGCGUUGUUCGGAAUUACUGGGCGUAAAGGGCGCGUAGGCGGCCCUCUAAGUCAGACGUGAAAUCCCCCGGCUUAACCUGGGAACUGCGUCUGAUACUGGAGGGCUUGAGUAUGGGAGAGGGAUGUAGAAUUCCAGGUGUAGCGGUGAAAUGCGUAGAUAUCUGGAGGAACACCGGUGGCGAAGGCGGCCAUCUGGACCGGUCCUGACGCUGAGGCGCGAAAGCGUGGGGAGCAAACAGG
rnacentral:rRNA from 1 species